rnacentral:rRNA from 1 species
UACGGGGGGGGCAAGCGUUGUUCGGAAUUACUGGGCGUAAAGGGCUCGUAGGCGGCCAACUAAGUCGGACGUGAAAUCCCCGGGCUCAACCCGGGAACUGCGUCCGAUACUGGAAGGCUUGAAUCCGGGAGAGGGAUGCGGAAUUCCAGGUGUAGCGGUGAAAUGCGUAGAUAUUGGGAGGAACACCAGUGGCGAAGGCGGCUCGCUGGACCGGAACUGACGCUGAGGCGCGAAAGCGUGGGGAGCAAACAGG